rnacentral:rRNA from 1 species
AUUGAACGCUGGCGGCAUGCCUUACACAUGCAAGUCGAACGGCAGCGGACCUUCGGGUGCCGGCGAGUGGCGAACGGGUGAGUAAUAUAUCGGAACGUACCUUUCAGUGGGGGAUAACGUAGCGAAAGUUACGCUAAUACCGCAUAUUCUGUGAGCAGGAAAGCAGGGGAUCGCAAGACCUUGCGCUGAUUGAGCGGCCGAUAUCAGAUUAGCUGGUUGGUGAGGUAAAGGCUCACCAAGGCGACGAUCUGUAGCGGGUCUGAGAGGAUGAUCCGCCACACUGGAACUGAGACACGGUCCAGACUCCUACGGGAGGCAGCAGUAGGGAAUUUUGGACAAUGGGCGCAAGCCUGAUCCAGCCAUGCCGCGUGAGUGAAGAAGGCC